UGUAACUGCAGCUUGUGCCGGCAAGCAAAAGGUUGGGCUCCUACUGGUGCUCUCUAUAGGAAGAUUGCUAGACUGGGUUAUAAGUCAGUCGCACAUUAUCUAAUUCAAACCCAUCGAGCUACUGUCAGUACCGAGAAUAACUUGACACCAUUCUCUGCAAAAAGAUCACUACCUUUCUCAGAUAUGGAAGGUACAAGAAAAGAUGAGGGACUCUGUGAGGUGAAACCAGUGGCGUAUGUGGCGUAUGAUGCUAAUGAACCCAAUUUAGCUCCAGAAAGUAGUACAGAGCCUUUGCUGCUGAAACCUUAUCCUGAAAACAGUGGUACAGAUCUUGUUCUCUCAGGCGACAAUGUGGGAAACUUCUCAACAGACAACAAAUCAGGAAAUGCAAAUGCUGUGCUGGUGGUAGGUAGCUCAUUGACUUCUCAAACAGAGAUGAAACCAGUGGACUAUGAUGGCCAUGAGCCCAACUUAGCACCGGAAAGUAGCACAGUGCCCUUGCUGAAGUCCAUCGUUGAACCCUUGUUGCUACUGAAACAUGACUCCGAAAACAGUGCAGGAAAUAUCUCAGUAGCCAACAAAUCAGGAAAUGAAAAUGUCGUGCUGGUGGGCA
rnacentral:misc_RNA from 1 species